AACGAACGCUGGCGGCAUGCCUAACACAUGCAAGUCGAACGAGACCUUCGGGUCUUGUGGCGCCCGGGUGCGUCACGCGUGGGAACCUGCACUUAGGUUCGGCAUAACUCCCCGACAGGGGUGCUAAUACCGGAUCAUGUCUUCGGCCCAAAGAUUUAUCGCCUUUGGAUGGGCCCGCGUUGGAUUCGCUAGUUGGUAGGGUAAAAGCAUACCAAGGCGCCGAUCCAUAGCUGGUCUGAGAGGAUGAUCAGCCACACUGAGACUAGGACACGGCCCAGACUCCUACGGGAGGGAGCAGUGGGGAAUAUUGGAAAAUGGGCGAAAGCCUGAUCCAGCUAGGCCGCGUGAGUGAUGAAGGUCGUAGGGUUGUAAAGCGCUUUUAACCGGGAUGAUAAUGACGGUACCGGGAGAAUAAGCUCCGGCUAACUACGUG
rnacentral:rRNA from 1 species